rnacentral:rRNA from 1 species
AUGAACGCUGGCGGCGUGCCUAAUACAUGCAAGUCGAGCGAACAGAUGAGGAGCUUGCUCCUCUGACGUUAGCGGCGGACGGGUGAGUAACACGUGGAUAACCUACCUAUAAGACUGGGAUAACUUCGGGAAACCGGAGCUAAUACCGGAUAAUAUAUUGAACCGCAUGGUUCAAUAGUGAAAGACGGUUUUGCUGUCACUUAUAGAUGGAUCCGCGCCGCAUUAGCUAGUUGGUAAGGUAACGGCUUCCAAGGCAACGAUGCGUAGCCGACCUGAGAGGGUGAUCGGCCACACUGGAACUGAGACACGGUCCAGACUCCUACGGGAGGCAGCAGUAGGGAAUCUUCCGCAAUGGGCGAAAGCCUGACGGAGCAACGCCGCGUGAGUGAUGAAGGUCUUCGGAUCGUAAAACUCUGUUAUUAGGGAAGAACAAAUGUGUAAGUAACUAUGCACGUCUUGACGGUACCUAAUCAGAAAGCCACGGCUAACUACGUG